AACUCGACCCCAGGUCAGGCGGGGCUAC
rnacentral:rRNA from 1 species